rnacentral:rRNA from 1 species
AUGCGCCCACCAACACACACCAAAAAAAACCCGCCCCAUAGGAAAACGAAGGAAAACCGGAUCAACUCCCCUCCUCUCGAUCCACUCCAUCUUCGUGACGUACGAAGCCGCACGAGAUCGCCCCCGCUGACAACCUCAUAUAGAAGAUGCCGCGAUCUCUUGCGAUCUCGCUACCUCCAGGAUCGGCGUCUGUCGCCACCACCAACCUCCGGGAUUGGCAUCUCUCGCUACCGCCGAGGUACGGGAUCCCGCAUCAUACCAGAGAAGACACUGUCUACGGAGUCCGGGAUCGACGCCGCGGACGUAAGGGAUCACCAUCGCCGACCUUCCAGACGAGACGUCGCCGCCGCCGACCUCCGAGGGGAGACGCUGCCGCCACCUGUGGUAAACCCUAGGAUAGGGCGGUUUCAACUUUCAACCCCAGGGCAGGCCGACAACUUGUCGAUUUGUUGUUCUUCCCUUAUAAGAUCCUUGAGGAUAGGUGCGGCAACUAGCGACACAUGCUGGAGCUUCUGGCGGCGGCAUUACCUGUAUCCACCUCUCCCUGUUGCAGGGUGGAAGUUGUUGAUGUUGUUCAAUUGUAUGCUGCCCCUUGAGGGGAAGCCGUGCGUGCGCCCAGUGAGGAGAAGCGGCAAGGGCUCCAGGUGUGAGAGGCUGAAGCUCGGGGACGACGACAUCAUGCACAAGAGGGCAUACAGGAGAACUAUAAUUGCCGGCUGCCGUGCAAAACCACCUUUGGCGAUCAAGAAACAAGAGCCGGCGGCGGCUGGAGCCAUCAUUGACCACGACCGUGCCAGGAGCACCCGGGAAAAGGCGAGGACAUGUUGUUUAUUCUUCUUGCUGGAAGGAUAUGUCGUGAAAGAUGAUCCAGAUGCUAUUAAAGUUGUAACCUUUGACUGUCCAUUAUGUCUGGACUGCCAUGAGACCGCGAUUGGUACUGUACCCCAAAUUCUUCCAUACUCUAAUGAUCUUGUGUUCAAGGAGCAUCAACUACAUGUUAUGUCAGGCUUGACCAUAUCAGGUGAAGGGAGUGACAAGCAAUAUUCUGGUUUUGAUGCCCUGGGGGUACACAAGAGAGAGAGAGAGGGAGGGAGGGAGGGAGAUGCAAUUUCCAGGACAUUUAUGACUUUAUUCGGGUAUGACUCUAUUUUCGUGCUUCUCUUGUUCACCCGGAAGUCAAGAGAAUGCACAAUCAGUAUAUACAAGCUAGGUUGUUUGCGAGAGAAUUUGAUUCAUUACAGUUGCCUACAAGGUCAGGUGCGGCAACUAGCGACACGUGCUGGAGCUUCUGGCAUCGCUGGUGGCGGCAUUACCUAUAUGGACCUCUCCCUGGUCGCCUUCAAGAGUGUGUGCGGGCUUGCCCGGCGACAGGAAAAGCACAAGCUUCAGAGCCACAAUCCCCGGUGCACCGCGGGCUUGCCCGGCGACAACAUCUCCUAUGGUUGUGAGGAGGGAGGGAGGGUUUGGCUGCCGGGAGGGGCGGCGCAUGGGAGGGAGGCUGUGUCCACAUGUGGUACUAAGUUAUUUAAAGAUGGCCCUGCUCAUCGGGCUCAAGCAGUAGCGAGCAAGGCCAGCGACAACGGAAAUGUUGUGACUGGCGCCCAUGCACCUCUACCUGACUUCAAUGCACCUUUGUGUUUUGUAAUCAUUUUCCAACAAUCUGAUGGUUUGUGCAGACCAUCAGAGGUGGGGCACUUGGAAGGUGGGGGCAUUAAAGAGCAGAUGAACUGGGCUGAGGCCCUCGUGGCUGCGCUCGAAGUUGAGAACAACAAGGAGAUGGGGAUGAAUGGAGCGUUUUUGUUUGAGUCAAGUACUAUUGUGCGCAUGGAUCUUCUUAUGCUGACCAUCUUGAAAUGGAGAUUGCAGGCCUUGUCUCUAUUUACUUUCGUCAUCACCUACUUUCCGAAGAAGUUUGGUGAUGGAAGCCAUUGA